rnacentral:rRNA from 1 species
GACGAACGCUGGCGGCGUGCUUAACACAUGCAAGUCGAACGGAAAGGCCCUGCUUUUGUGGGGUGCUCGAGUGGCGAACGGGUGAGUAACACGUGAGUAACCUGCCCUUGACUUUGGGAUAACUUCAGGAAACUGGGGCUAAUACCGGAUAGGAGCUCCUGCUGCAUGGUGGGGGUUGGAAAGUUUCGGCGGUUGGGGAUGGACUCGCGGCUUAUCAGCUUGUUGGUGGGGUAGUGGCUUACCAAGGCUUUGACGGGUAGCCGGCCUGAGAGGGUGACCGGCCACAUUGGGACUGAGAUACGGCCCAGACUCCUACGGGAGGCAGCAGUGGGGAAUAUUGCACAAUGGGCGGAAGCCUGAUGCAGCAACGCCGCGUGCGGGAUGACGGCCUUCGGGUUGUAAACCGCUUUCGCCUGUGACGAAGCGUGAGUGACGGUAAUGGGUAAAGAAGCACCGGCUAACUACGUGCCAGCAGCCGCGGUGAUACGUAGGGUGCGAGCGUUGUCCGGAUUUAUUGGGCGUAAAGGGCUCGUAGGUGGUUGAUCGCGUCGGAAGUGUAAUCUUGGGGCUUAACCCUGAGCGUGCUUUCGAUACGGGUUGACUUGAGGAAGGUAGGGGAGAAUGGAAUUCCUGGUGGAGCGGUGGAAUGCGCAGAUAUCAGGAGGAACACCAGUGGCGAAGGCGGUUCUCUGGGCCUUUCCUGACGCUGAGGAGCGAAAGCGUGGGGAGCGAACAGGCUUAGAUACCCUGGUAGUCCACGCUGUAAACGGUGGGUACUAGGUGUGGGGUCCAUUCCACGGGUUCCGUGCCGUAGCUAACGCUUUAAGUACCCCGCCUGGGGAGUACGGCCGCAAGGCUAAAACUCAAAGGAAUCGACGGGGCCCCGCACAAGCGGCGGAGCAUGCGGAUUAAUUCGAUGCAACGCGUAGAACCUUACCUGGGUUUGACAUGGAUCGGGAGUGCUCAGAGAUGGGUGUGCCUCUUUUGGGGUCGGUUCACAGGUGGUGCAUGGCUGUCGUCAGCUCGUGUCGUGAGAUGUUGGGUUAAGUCCCGCAACGAGCGCAACCCUUGUUCACUGUUGCCAGCACGUUAUGGUGGGGACUCAGUGGAGACCGCCGGGUCAACUCGGAGGAAGGUGGGGAUGACGUCAAGUCAUCAUGCCCCUUAUGUCCAGGGCUUCACGCAUGCUACAAUGGCUGGUACAGAGAGUGGCGAGCCUGUGAGGGUGAGCGAAUCUCGGAAAGCCGGUCUCAGUUCGGAUUGGGGUCUGCAACUCGACCUCAUGAAGUCGGAGUCGCUAGUAAUCGCAGAUCAGCAACGCUGCGGUGAAUACGUUCCCGGGGCU